rnacentral:rRNA from 1 species
AUUGAACGCUGGCGGCAUGCCUUACACAUGCAAGUCGAACGGUAACAGGUUAAGCUGACGAGUGGCGAACGGGUGAGUAAUGUAUCGGAACGUGCCCAGUCGUGGGGGGAUAACUACUCGAAAGAGUGGCUAAUACCGCAUGAGACCUGAGGGUGAAAGCGGGGGAUCGCAAGACCUCGCGCGAUUGGAGCGGCCGAUAUCAGAUUAGGUAGUUGGUGAGGUAAGAGCUCACCAAGCCGACGAUCUGUAGCUGGUCUGAGAGGACGACCAGCCACACUGGGACUGAGACACGGCCCAGACUCCUACGGGAGGCAGCAGUGGGGAAUUUUGGACAAUGGACGCAAGUCUGAUCCAGCCAUGCCGCGUGCGGAGAAGGCCUCGGUUG